AAAAUUUGGAAGAUCCCAAUACAGGCCACGGUGUUGAAGGGGUUUUGGUUUAAGCAACAACGGUUGAAGCAGAAUUUGAAAUGGUGGAAUAAAGAAAUAUUUGGUGAAAUUUUCCAUAACUUACGGGGUGGCUGAGGCACAUGCAAAGGCAAUUGAGGAUUUAUUUCAACAAAAACAAUCUGCAAGGAACAGGGAGAAUAUCUUAUGCACAACUAAAUCAUUUACAUAGUGCAGAAGAAUUGUU
rnacentral:lncRNA from 1 species